rnacentral:misc_RNA from 1 species
GAAGGGGAGUGGUAGUAGUGUGUAUACACCGCCUUCUGCUCGGUCAGUGGUGCCUGUAGUUUCUGUUCCUUCUGGGGGAUACCAGGUGACAGGGAAAGUCGCAGUUUUGAGGGGUGAGGAUUUCCCUUCAUUGCAGGCNAUUGCCAGCAACUUCUGUGCCUGAAAAGAAACAGAAGGAUGUUUUGAAUCAGAAACAGAAGCAAACGUUGGGUGAGGAAUUGGCUAAUGAACGGAAUAGUUCCCAAUUGAGUACACUUGUUGAUAUGCGUCCGCAAUUGCAGUCAAGGACUAAUAUUAGCAAUGGAUUGCAAGAGAAUGUUGCUGAAAUUCAUGGUUUGGGUGGUUCAGUCAUGCUUGAGAAAGA